rnacentral:lncRNA from 1 species
GCUGUGUCAUGGGUGUGCGUCCUCAACCUUGGCAAAAUAAACUUUCCAAAUUAACUGAGACCUAUCUCAGAUUUUCGGGGUUCAUAAGGCUAAGGAAGUAUUGUCUCAGGGAUUUUUAUUUUUUACUGUUUUGCUCGGAAGGAAGCAGGAAGUAGUUCCCCUAAACACUUCCCCAGCUUGGCAUUCUCAAGGUGGCUCUCAGCUCCCUGGCCUCCAGAGGUGUCUCCUUUUUCUCUUUUCCUCAUUGUCUGGCACAUAGAGGGGAGAGAAACCAUUUUUUAUUUUACGUUAUUUUUUAUUUUUUAAUUUUAAUUUUAAUUUGAGACGGAGUUUCACUCUCAUUGCCCAAGCUGGAGUGCAAUGGCGUGAUCUCAGCUCACUGCAGCCUCCUGUCAGAGAUGAUAAAUUCCUCUUCAAAAAGGUUUAGUUCUCUGUUCUUUGUUUCUUAAGACCAACUUCCUUGUACAUCCUUGUCUCCUAGCUACCUGUUCUGUAAACAGCCUUCCUGCCUUCGCCAGGCCCAGACAAGUCCAGAUAUGCCUUCCCACCUAGUAACGGAUAGUUCCUCUUCCUUCCCACCUAAUAGACCCUAUUCAAUUUUAAAUCUUAGCCAAUCGAAUUAGCUUAGAUUGUGAAGUCCAACCCCAGCCAAUGCGGAAAGGACACAGAAGUGCUAGGAACUGCAUUAGGGAUUAAAAACCCCUGCCCUACCCUGCUUGGUGUGCUCUUGCGAUUGUGACUAGCACAAGCUGCACCCUUCUGCAGAAGUAAAUUUGCCUUGCUGAGGAAUUUUCUGCCUAUGUGCUGUUUUUCUUUGUGGCACCAGGCACUUGUUUCUAACAAACUUGGGGGUUCAUCUGGGAUUCCCAUUCUCCUCCGGGGAGGGUCUCAGAUCAUUUCUCGUGAGGAGACGCAGCCCGCUGCUUUGUUGCGGUGGCCUCAAGGGUAAGGGAUCGAGACCCACCUGGUGUGAUGAAUAAACCUGGACUCUAGCAAUGAGGGAAGAAAAGGCAGACAGAUACUGUGGCGACCAGGUAACUCUGUGCAUAGACCAAGGACUCAAGGCCUCCUAGCACAAACUCCACCCAUUGAAUUACCAGUUCAUCAACACCAGCCUGGAGAUCACAUCCUUAUCAGAAGUUGGAAAGAGGGAAAGCUCGAACCCACUUGGGAAGGACCAUACCUAGUGCUCCUCACAACUGAGACAGCAGUCCGGACCGUUGAGAGAGGAUGGACGCAUCAUACCCGGGUACCCCUCUCCAAAAUGAAGUCUCGUUCAGUCACCUAGGCUGGAGUGCAGUGGCAUGAUCUCAGCUCCCUGCAACCUCUGCCUCCCGGGUUCAAGUGAUUCCCCUGCCUCGGCCUCCUGAGUGCCUGGGACUACAGGUGUGCAGCACCAUACCCGGCUAAUUUUUGUAUUUUUAGUAGAGACGGGGUUUUGCUAUGUUGGCCAGGGUGGUCUGAAACUCCAGGCCUCAAGUGAUCUGCCUGCCUCGGUCUCCCAAAGUGCUGGGAUUACAGGCAUUAGCCACCACACCUGGCCCUAACUCAGGGUUUCUUAACCUUGGUCCUACCAUUGACAUUUGGGCUGCAUGACUCUUCAUUGUGGGGAGCUGUCGUGUGUACUGGGUGAUGACAUUUACCAUUAUCCCUAGCCUCCACUCACUUGAUGCCAGUAGCUGCAAGCCCCCAGUCAUGACAACCCAAAAUGUUACCAGACACUGCCAGGUAUCCCCUGGGGGAUAGAACCACUGAUCCAACUGAAGAACAUGCACCCUGAACUACUACACUCCAUUCCCACCCAAGAGUGCAGCUUUCAGCUCGAAGUAAGGCAGAACUUUCUAAAAAAGAUGUUAUCCAACAAUGCAACAAGUUACCUUGAGAAAGACAGUAAGCUCCCCAACAUGGGAAGCAUGAAAGAAGAGGCAACCUGGAUCUGAUUCCAAAUUAGAAAUACUCCAAACUUCCUCAAGGGCAAUGCAAUUAUUUACCUAAAUAAAGCUCAGCAACGUUGGUUUUAGAUAAAGCACCUAGUACAGUGUCUGGCAUACAUGAGGUGCUCAAUUAAUAGCAGUGGUUGUGUUUUCUUCCAUUUCUUGGUGAGCACCACCAUCCUGUACCUGGCCCAUUCAGGAUCAGAGGACUCAUCCUUGACCUUUCCUUGUUUUUCACUGUGGUGGAAGCUGCUAAUAGUCUCCUCUCAUGUCUAAGACUAGAACUCUGCUUCUCAGCUGAGUAUACAGCUGCCUGGAAUAGAAACUACAUUUCCCAGACUCCUUUGUAGCUGGGUGUGACCAUGUGACUAAAUUCCAAUGGAAUGUAAAUGCAAGUGUUGUUUGCAACUUCCAGAAAACAGCCUUAAAAUAAAGGUGUGUACUUUUCUUUGGCCUUUCAUUCUUCUAGCUGGCUGGAUUGUGGAUAUGAUGAGUAGUGCUUAAGCAGCCAUCUUGGGACCAUAAGGAAAAGCCACACAAUUAGGAAAGUGAAGCAGCCAUCGGGACAGACUUGAGGUCCCUGAUGAUCAUGGGGCUGCCAUAUCAGCGAGGACUGCCCACCUCUGGACCUCACGUCUAUUUCAUGGAAGCCAUUGUUAGCUAGUGUUUUCUAUCACAUACAGCCAACUCGAAUCCUAAUUGAUACACUGUCCCUGACUUCAAAGAGUUGAUAAAUUAGCAUGCGAAGAAAUACACAAGAUAAACAGCAUCAAAACAAUUAAAUUAAAAACCCUAGAAUUCAGCUGGGACAAACGUGGUGACUGGUAUAAGAUCAAGGCAGGUAGCUGGACAGCAGAGGGAAGAACUGCCUCUCUCAAGGCAAAAUGCGGACGUCAGAAAGGACAUCAGAGAAGAAGUGAUAUGCAAGCCAGGCUUUGAAGGAUGGGUGGAAUUUCUCCAGCAGGAAGAAAGAGGUAUUUAAGGCUCAGUAGAAGAAAGACUCAAAGUACACAGCUGAGUUUGAGGAAUUGGGAGGAGUCAUUGGAAGUGCCUAGAGCACAGAACGAUGAGUCUGGAAGCACACGCUGGGGCCAAGGUGUAAGUAAGCUUCUUUACACGUUGAUGCCAUUUCCCUGCCUGGAACAUUCUUUUGCCUUGAAACUCUUACUUGUUCCUUUCUCUUGGUAUCCUCAACUUCUAACAUGCUCCUCUUUUAUCAACUUUCUUGUGGGAUUAUCAUUCUUUAGCUGAUUCUCCUCCAACUAAAUGGGGAGCAACUCCAGGGCAUGGAGGAUGUCCACUAUUUCUGUCUCUGAAGUGCAACACCAUGGGGACAUCCCAUUCGCUGACAGCAGGGACCCUGCAUUUUCGCUUGCCAUCAUUUCUCCUGAGCCUGGCACCAGGCUGGCACAUGAUAGGUGCUCAACAGAGGUUUACUGGAUGAGCCCUGAAAAAACAAGACCCAGGGUCGGG